UACGGAGGGGGUUAGCGUUGUUCGGAAUGACUGGGCGUAAAGCGCGCGUAGGCGGACCGCAAAGUUGGGGGUGAAAGCCCAGGGCUCAACCCCGGAACUGCCUUCAAAACUAUUGGUCUGGAGUUCGAGAGAGGUGAGUGGAAUACCGAGUGUAGAGGUGAAAUUCGUAGAUAUUCGGUGGAACACCAGUGGCGAAGGCGGCUCACUGGAUCGAUACUGACGCUGAGGUGCGAAAGCGUGGGGAGCAAACAGG
rnacentral:rRNA from 1 species